GACAGAGGGUGCAAGCGUUGUUCGGAAUUAUUGGGCGUAAAGCGCGCGUAGGCGGCUUGGUAAGUCGAAUGUGAAAUCCCGUGGCUUAACCAUGGAAGUGCAUUCGAAACUACCUCGCUAGAGUGUCGGAGAGGGUGGUGGAAUUCCCAGUGUAGAGGUGAAAUUCGUAGAUAUUGGGAGGAACACCAGUGGCGAAGGCGACCACCUGGACGACUACUGACGCUGAGGCGCGAGAGCGUGGGGAGCAAAC
rnacentral:rRNA from 1 species